UUCCAGACUCCUACGGGAGGCAGCAGUGGGGAAUAUUGGGCGAUGGGCGCAAGCCUGACCCAGCGACGCCGCGUGAAGGAAGAAGUAUCUCGGUAUGUAAACUUCUAUCAGCAGGGAAGAAAACAGACGGUACCUGACUAAGAAGCCCCGGCUAACUACGUGCCAGCAGCCGCGGUAAUACGUAGGGGGCAAGCGUUAUCCGGAUUUACUGGGUGUAAAGGGAGCGUAGACGGCAGUGCAAGUCUGAAGUGAAAGGCGGGGGCCCAACCCCCGGACUGCUUUGGAAACUGUGCUGCUGGAGUGCAGGAGAGGCAAGUGGAAUUCCUAGUGUAGCGGUGAAAUGCGUAGAUAUUAGGAGGAACACCAGUGGCGAAGGCGGCUUGCUGGGCUGUAACUGACGUUGAGGCUCGAAAGCGUGGGGAGCAAACAGGAUUAGAUACCCUGGUAGCG
rnacentral:rRNA from 1 species